GCCAGUGGGCAACUGAGAGUAGUUCUGAAGAAGACUCUCAAUCCAGUGCUGUGUGAACACAGGAAAUGUGUUUCUUUUCUGUUGCAGCUUGUCGAGCCUGCUGUGAUGGGCAUCGCGAGCAGCAAGAUCAGCUGUGGGCCUGACCUGGCAUGGACAGAGCCUGAGAACCAGGGGAAGCCCUUGCUGGUGCAUGAGGAGCCAUCUCUUAAUAUUCCGGCUAUUGCUGCUGGCCAUGUUAUUAAGAGAUACGUUGCCCAGGAAGCGGAUGAGCUCUCCUUGGAGGUAAGCAGUUAAAGGCGUUCCUUGUUGUCAUGGCCAGAAGAGUCUACCGUGUGAAUGCAUCAGGAAUAUUCUCCGACACCUUCAGAAUGCCCUGUGAGGCGAAGCCCAGAAGAUGCAGGUCCAGAUAGGACUUGCACUGGGUUGGAUGCAGGGAGGAGUUCAGCCAUGUGUAAAAGACGGUUUGAUUUGGCAUGCUUGCACUGUAUUCUGUCUGGUGUGCAAGGCAGUGACUCUUGUACGUGCCAGUUCAGCUUUCUGACGGGAAAUGCCUGAAGAGCUGCCCCGGUGCAAUUGCUCUCAAGCUGUGCGCUAUUUGGCAGUGCAGAAGAAGGGCAUCAUUUCAGCUGUGCUUUCCUCGCAGCUGUGCUGAAGCUGGGAUUGAUGUUGCAAUGUCUUGCAGGUGGGAGACCUGGUGUGCAUUCUUGCUAUGCCAGCAAAGGAGCUGAGCCCCUGGUGGAGAGGCAAGCGUGGCUUCCAGGUAGGCACAAGCUUCAGACUUGCGGGCGCAACGGCAGUCAAGUCAGGAAGGUCAGCUUCGAGCUGCUCGGCCUGCACAUGGUUGGCUUCUGGACGUAAACAGUUUCCCUGUGUCGGUGUCAGCGGCCUUUCCCUUUGGCUCUGGGCUUGGGUAGGAAACCGUCUCCUCAUGUGACUUAGAAGCAAGAGCCUCUCCUGCUCACUGCACAGUCAGGAGUUGACCAUGUCUGUCCUUUGUACAAGCACGGAGGACAGAGCCAUCUUCUGCGGAACCAAGUCUUGGUUUUGUAGGUCUUUUGGCUGCAAAUGUGGAAUGAGGGUUCCUUUUCUGCAGGCCAUUCUUUCUUGGUUUAACGGUGGAGGCCUGAGAAGUGCUGCAUUCAGUCUUCCAUCUCUCUUCUUGUUCUUGUUCCAGGUGGGAUUUUUCCCUGGUGAGUGCGUGGAGCUCAUCAACGGAAAAAUUCCUGAGGCCCUCAUCGAUUCAGCACCAAAGCCAGGUACGGAUGUUACAUGUGAUGGCGCGGGGAAGUCAAAGGGAGUCGUGUUCUGGGUGUGUUCCGUGUUGAAUAGCUCCUUUAUCUAUCCCACGUUAUCCUCUGUGUUGAUGAUCCUUCAUGCAUCCCACGGGGCAUACGGCUGCUGUUUUGUAGGCAGUGAGAGUGAGGGCUUGGGCAAAUGAUAGGAUCCUCGUAGAAUGGCUUGGGAUGGAAGGGACCUCAAGGAUCAUCAAGCUCCAAGCCCCGUGCCUCAGGCUGGGCUGCCAACCUCCACUUUGAAUGCCGGACUAAACCAGGCUGCCCAGGGCCCCAUCCAACGUGGCCUUGGAGUCCUCCGGGGACGGGGAAAAUCCGCUGCUGUAUGUACUUGUUGGCAAUGUUCUUCCCGCUUUUACGUGCUCUGUAGAAUGUGUGACGCUCGGCCUGGUCCCACUGAUCCCAACGUGAAAUGAACUCGUUUCUUCCUUGUGUUGUGCAGUGCCAAAGAAGCGUGGCAAGCUCAUCAGCUUCCUUCGUUCCUUCGCGAAGGCCCGCCCAAAGGAACCGAAGCAGCGGGAGAUGGCGAAGGAGAAGGAAGGGGUGUUUGGCUGUGACCUGGGAGAGCAUCUUCUCCACUCUGGCCGUGACGGUAAGAAACAGCCCGUUCCUGAGAGCUUCCUCUGUUGGGCAUGUAAAGAUGAAAGGGAGAUCACCUCUGGCAAGGGUCAGGUUGAUAGCAGUGGAGAAAGGUGAGGUGGCAGUUGAUGGCUGAAAUGUAAGCUGAGGCUAAUGCCCAUAGGAGAGCAGCCCACUUGUAUUUGCUUAAAGCAAAAGGUGUAAGCCAAUGCCACGCUAGCCUGAAAACAAAGGCAGCCUUUUGGCCAAAGAGAGUGUACUGCGUCAGUUUCCUAGCUCUCCUGGACGUGAGGUUUCACACCUCCAUUGCGGUGGGAGCUGUGACGGGACUUGCAGUGUCUCUGGCUUCCCCAGAAUUACUUUCUGCAGGCUGGUUGGCAGGUCCUGGCAUUUCUGGAAAGCCAAGUACACGUCUGUGUCCAGUUUCCUCCCCGGCUCCUGCCUGUCAGAGACGUCUGUGACAGCUUUCUUUCUCCUCUAAGGAGGAGGCAUGCAGUAGCGCGGCUGGGCUUAGUGGAUGGGAUGUGACAGGAGCAGCGGCUGAAGCAGGACUUGAAUCAGGAGCUCAGCUAACCGCUGGCACUUGUUCCGUAGUCCCCCAGGUCCUCCAGAGCUGCGCUGAGUUCAUUGAGCAGCACGGCGUGGUGCAGGGGAUCUACCGCCUGUCCGGCGUGGCGUCCAAGGUCCAGAAGCUACGGUAAGAGUGUUGCAACUGACACAGCUGUCAGUAGGGGCACGUGCCAUGCUGCGGGCGUUCCGAGGCCUGCACUGUGGGGCAGCUGUGUGCCGGCAGCGUGCGCUCAGCGGUGGUGCACCAGGCUUGUGUCUGUUUGAUAGGAACACGGGGCGUUGAGUAGACUUGCUGGGGCAGGAAGUUCUCCUUCAGUCCUUGAGAGCAUUGGAAGGCUGUGGGGGACUGCGGUGUCAGCUCUCAUUCCCGUUUCCUCUUGUUGGCAGAGCCCUUUGGAGCAGCCCGCACUCCUCCUUGCUGCUCUGGGCUCCUGGCGUGCAAUUGCGGAGUAGGCAGCCAGUUGUCAGAGCGUUUCUUUUCUCCUGUGAAUCAGGAGCCCCUUCCUUUUCUUGACUCUGUCGUGUAUUGCUUUGGACUUGCCUUCCUCUUUCUCAGAGCCCGUUUGUGUGUCCUCCUCUCCAGCCAUGAAUUUGAGUCGGAGCAGAUUCCGGAGCUAAGCGUCCGUGACGUUCACAGCGUGAGCUCCCUGUGCAAGAUGUACUUCAGGGAGCUCCCGACCCCUCUGCUGACUGAGCAGCUGUAUGGCAAGUUCUCGGUAAGCACAAGGCAAUGGCUUUCAUGUCCCUCUUCCCUGGGCCUCUUGGCAUGGCCUGUCGCAUACACACACGCCUGCGCACCUCAUGGUCUUUUUUUCUGAUUUUCUGUUAGCCCCAUGGGGUAGACUCGCAUGUCUCUGCCACAUCCCACAGUUGCAGCAUGCUGAUGCCACUUUUAGUGGUCCCAGGAUGUGGUCACUUCCGUGUUCACAAUGCUCGCAAGAAUUCCCAUUCUUUUUCUAUUCCCCAGCUAUUUCUGGAACAGGAAUGGGAUUAAUAGCACAGGUUCCUGGGAGAUGAAUGCCCACUGCGAGGAGCUGAGGUGCACAGUCAGUCAGGCUGUAAAGCGGCCCAGUGCUUGGACUGCUUGGCCUUGAUGGCACCAGCUGCGUGCCGCUGUGUUCCCCAGGUUUUCUGCCUGUUGGAAGGCAUAAAAUCCGCCUCAGUGCUGAGCAACAGCGCUCUGUCCCCAUAGUUGCCGAGCCUGCGGCAGGUAUCUCUACUGAUGUGUGUCUAAAUCCCUCUCUGCUUUCUUCCAGGAUGCUGUUUGUGCCGCUACAGAUGAGGAGCGGUUGCUCAGAAUGCAGGAGGUCAUCCAGCAGCUGCCCGCGCCUCACUACAGGUCAGAAAACUGCUGCCCUGAGUGUGGUGAGCUCAGCCCUGCUGCAUUUCAGAGGGCGAUGAUGCGAUGGCAGGCUUUGUCUCACGCUCACAACAUGAUGCCUGUGUGUGUUGAAGUGAUUGAUGGCUCGGUGGGGUUGAUGGAUUGGGUCAGUUCCUGGGGCACGGCUGGUGCAGCUGAUGGCUGCGUCUGUGCUGUGCUGGGGCGUGUCUUGAGGUUUGUUUGUGAAUUGCAGCACGGCGUGCUCAGUGGUGCUGAAGGUCUGCCUCUUGCUUUCCAGGACACUGGAGUACCUGGUGAGGCACUUGGCUUGUCUCGCUGGGAGCUGCUCUGCCACAAAGAUGCCCGCUAAGAACUUAGCGAUUGUGUGGGCUCCCAACCUCUUCAGAUCCCAGCAGAACGAGUCUGCCUGCGCCAGCGGACGAGCUGCCUGCGUGGAACUGCAGAGGCAGUCAGAUGUGGUGGAGUACAUCAUCAGCCACACAGACGUCCUCUUCUGCUCCAGAUCCACAUCAGGCAUCGGAGAUGGAGCAGGUGAGCGUCUUCCUGCAUGAGCUUUGACUUGAUCAGACACCUUGAUCAAAUGCAGGCCUUCUCCAAGAUGGCUGAAAGAUGCUUUUACUGUCGAGGGGCCAGCAGGCUUGUGGGCGUAGAUUAGAAUAUGGCACCCUGUGGCUGGAUGCUGAGAGUGUCCAAGCCCAAACGUGAGAAGGAGAAAACCGUCCCUUUCACGACAAUGUUUUGCAUGCAGGUGAAGCUUGAUGAAAGCGUGGCAGCAAAGCUUUCUGAGUUCCCUGCCCCCCUCUUCUCGGGUUUUUGUUUGCCUGUUUCGCUACAGUCAGCUGCUGUGAAUGAUGACUGUGUUCUUUGCCAUGAACGUACCUCUGACCACACGGUUCUUUGGACCUCCUCUUCUUCCAGUGGCUCGGAUAAGCAAGGCUGAGAAGCGGGCAGCACCUCCCCCAGAACUGUGGUGGCUGUGCUGCUGCUUUCUGAUCCUCCCUCUUAGCUGUGGUCUUGUCUUCCC